rnacentral:rRNA from 1 species
AUUGAACGCUGGCGGCAUGCCUUACACAUGCAAGUCGAACGGUAACGCGGGGCAACCUGGCGACGAGUGGCGAACGGGUGAGUAAUGCAUCGGAACGUGCCCAGUAGUGGGGGAUAGCCCGGCGAAAGCCGGAUUAAUACCGGAUACGACCUACGGGUGAAAGCGGGGGACCGUAAGGCCUCGCGCUAUUGGAGCGGCCGAUGUCAGAUUAGGUUGUUGGUGGGGUAAAAGCCUACCAAGCCGACGAUCUGUAGCUGGUCUGAGAGGACGACCAGCCACACUGGACAGAGAAGCGGCCCAGACUCCUACGGGAGUCAGCCGUGGGGAAUUUUGGACAAUGGGGGCAACCCUGAUCCAGCCAUUCCGCGGGCGGGAAGAAGGCCUUCGGGUUGUAAACCGCUUUUGUCAGGGAAGAAAAGCUCUGGGCUAAUACCCCGGGGUAAUGACGGUACCUGAAGAAUAAGCACCGGCUAACUACGUGCCAGCAGCCGCGGUAAUAC